AGCAGUGGCUGGAUCUAUGAUUUCAAAAUACAUAGGAGAGGAGUCCCUAGCCUUGAGGGGUUAAUGCGAGGUUGGUGAGAGUUGGAGGAGGAGCAUGUGGAGGUGGGAGUGGUGGAGUCACGUGAUAUGAAGGGAUAUGAUAGAGGGGAACCUUCGAAAGCGGUUAGGGAGAAAGGGAAGCGUAGGGUUUCUUCUCUACGAAUGAUAGUGUUGAUGGCAUCGUUGAGGCUUUGUGGACAACAACGGGAAGCUUCUCCUGCUACUCCUUGUUGUUCUUAGCAGAGGGAGAGUGAAACUCAAUGGCGACCCUGAUCGAAUAGGUGAGGUGCGUUUAGGAAUCGGAGGGAAGGAAUAGAGCAUUAAAGAGAAGGAAGAAAAAGAACCUGAAAAGGGAACCUAUGAUAGGUUGGUGGCGGAAUAAAGAGAGAGAAGAAAGAAAAAGUUGGGUGUUACAAGCACAGCAGAGGAGAGAGGGGAAAAAGUACUUCACGUCAGACGAAGUUAAUGUCGUUGCUACCAACUUAAUCCACAGGACUUCAUUCAUACAAUUUUGUCAACUUUAGGAUCUAAUAUCUACACUUUUAAAAUCGGAUACUAAACUGAAAAUUACCACCGAAGAUAAAGACCAAGUAAACAUUUAAUUUUCUUUUUAUUUAAUUUCUUUCCACCAACCACGUAAGUUUUUCACAUCUGUCUCGCAUUAAAUCUUAAUUAAUUGUUCAAGCGUAGUUUAUAGAACGAAAAAGAGAAAAAAAAAAUUUCACUAACAAAUCAGUUAUCUAGCUUAACAGUUAUCAUUAAUUUAUUGUUCUUUAUAUAAUAUAUGAAAAACAUGAUUGUUUUAGUUCUUACUUUCAUACAUUACAACUACUUACUUGAAAGUUAAUAUAUAAAUAAUAAAUAAUUAGAUUAAGAUGUAGCAGAAAAU
rnacentral:lncRNA from 1 species